UAGGGCAUAUGGAGGUUCCCAGGCCGGGGGUUGAAUCGGAGCUGUAGUCGCUGGCCUAUGGUACAGCCACAGCAACAUCAGAUCUGAGUCACAUCUGUGACCUACACCGCAGCUCACGGCAACAACGGAUCCUUAACCCACUGAGUGAGGCCAGGGAUUGAACCUGCAUCCUCAUGGAUGUAGUCAGAUUCAUUUCCACUGAGCCACGAUGGGAACUCUGAGAGCAGAUCUUAAAAGUGCUCAUCUUAAAAAAAAAAAAAGUGCGUCUAACUGUGCAGUGACAGAUGUUAACUUGUUUUGGUUAUCAUUUCACAAUAUAUAUAAAUAUCAAAAACACUGUAUACCUGAAAUUAAUAUAAUGUUAUACAUCAAUUAUACCUCAAUUAAAACAAACAGGAAAAGAAAAGUCUAGAGUUGUAGUUGGUUUGUUCCCCUGCACAGCUCUGGAGUGACCUAUGGGUUUUGCCUCUGGGUACUUGCAUGUGCUUUGUCCUCUGACUAGGUAGCCAUUCUACCCUUUUGGCCCAAUUAAUAUCCCUUCCUCGUUCACAGUUCAGCUUUAAUGUCACCUCCUCAGGGAAGUCUUCCCUGAUUUUGCAGACUAGCUUCAGUCCCCCUGUCAAUGUCCUUACAUCAUUCAUUCAUGUUUUUUUUCCUUCACUUAAACAUUCAAAUACUUGUCCAACAAACAUCCACAGAGCACCUUCCCUGCUCUGGGAUUUGUUCCAGACACUGGGGACACAGCCCCUGUUUUCAUGGAGCUCACCAUUUGGGGAUCAUUCAAUAAACAAAUAAACAGACAACAUAACUUCAGAUUGAUACGCGUAUGAAGUAAACAAACAGGGUGACAUGGUAAGAGAGUGCCUGGUGGGGGCUUCUCUGAGGAGGUGAUGUUUGAAUCAAUAUUGGGGGGCGGGUGUACCACACUCACGGCAUAUGGAAAUUCCCAGGCUAGGGGUCAAAUAGGAGCCACAGCUGCCGGCCUAUACCACAGAGCCAUAGGAAGAUCUGGAAAAGAUGAGGGAGAGGGAGCAGCAAGUGCAAAGGCCUUGGGGCAGGAACAUACCCGGCAUAACUGAGAAACAGCCAGGAGGCCACUGCGGCUGGAAGCACAUGGGGAAAAGUGAGCUCAGAAACUUAAGGCGGUGGCAGGUUGUGCAGGGCCUUGAGGCCACACUAAGUCUCAGCUCUCAUCGCUAUUUGCAGUUCUGCUUUUUCACCACUAUUGGAGUGGCGUUUUGCUUUUGAUUGUGAGUUC
rnacentral:lncRNA from 1 species